UACGGAGGGUGCAAGCGUUAAUCGGAAUUACUGGGCGUAAAGCGCACGCAGGCGGUUUGUUAAGUCAGAUGUGAAAUCCCCGGGCUCAACCUGGGAACUGCAUCUGAUACUGGCAAGCUUGAGUCUCGUAGAGGGGGGUAGAAUUCCAGGUGUAGCGGUGAAAUGCGUAGAGAUGUGGAGGAAUACCGGUGGCGAAGGCGGCCCCCUGGACAAAGACUGACGCUCAGGUGCGAAAGCGUGGGGAGCAAACAGG
rnacentral:rRNA from 1 species